AUUGAACGCUGGCGGCAUGCUUUACACAUGCAAGUCGAACGGUAGAGGGGGCAACCCCUUGAGAGUGGCGAACGGGUGAGUAAUGCAUCGGAACGUGCCCAGUCGUGGGGGAUAACGCAGCGAAAGCUGUGCUAAUACCGCAUACGAUCUCUGGAUGAAAGCGGGGGACCGAAAGGCCUCGCGCGAUUGGAGCGGCCGAUGUCAGAUUAGGUAGUUGGUGGGGUAAAGGCCUACCAAGCCAACGAUCUGUAGCUGGUCUGAGAGGACGACCAGCCACACUGGGACUGAGACACGGCCCAGACUCCUACGGGAGGCAGCAGUGGGGAAUUUUGGACAAUGGGCGCAAGCCUGAUCCAGCAAUGCCGCGUGCAGGAAGAAGGCCUUCGGGUUGUAAACUGCUUUUGUACGGAACGAAACGGUCUGGGUUAAUACCCUGGGCUAAUGACGGUACCGUAAGAAUAAGCACCGGCUAACUACGUGCCAGCCGCCGCAGUAAGAC
rnacentral:rRNA from 1 species